UGGGGAAUAUUGCACAAUGGGCGAAAGCCUGAUGCAGCAACGCCGCGUGAGUGAUGAAGGCCUUCGGGUUGUAAAGCUCUGUCUUUUGGGACGAUAAUGACGGUACCAAAGGAGGAAGCCACGGCUAACUACGUGCCAGCAGCCGCGGUAAUACGUAGGUGGCAAGCGUUGUCCGGAUUUACUGGGCGUAAAGGAUGCGUAGGCGGAUUUUUAAGUGAGAUGUGAAAUACCCGGGCUUAACUUGGGUGCUGCAUUUCAAACUGGGAAUCUAGAGUGCGGGAGAGGAGAAUGGAAUUCCUAGUGUAGCGGUGAAAAUGCGUAGAGAUUAGGAAGAAACACCAGUGGCGAAAGGCGAUUCUCUGGACCGUAACUGACGCUGAGGCAUGAAAAGCGUGGGUAGCAAAACAGGAUUAGAUACCCUGGUAGUCCACGCCGUAAAACGAUGAGUACUAGGUGUAGGAGGUAUCGACCCCUUCUGUGCCGCAGUUAAACACAAAUAAAGUACUCCGCCUGGGGAAGUACGAUCGCAAAGAUUAAAAACUCAAAAGGAAUUGACGGGGGUCAAUAGCUGUUUUCCU
rnacentral:rRNA from 1 species